rnacentral:lncRNA from 1 species
UUUUUUUCCAAAGGUGUAAGAAAACGAAGAAGAAAAGAAGGAGAAAGUAAAACAUGGUGAGGGAGAAAAGAGAACGUGCAAACCCAAAAAAAGGAAAAAAUCAAAAAUAAAAAUAAAAAUCCAAACUAAAUACAUAUUUAAUAAAUAAAUAUUAAACUUUUCAACAAAAUAAAACUUAAAUCAAAUUAAUUACCUCAAUGCACACCCGAGGCUCAAACCUGGAACCCCAAACUAAACUAAC